AUUGAACGCUGGCGGCAUGCUUUACACAUGCAAGUCGAACGGUAACAGGGAGCUUGCUCCGCUGACGAGUGGCGAACGGGUGAGUAAUAUAUCGGAACGUACCCAAGAGUGGGGGAUAACGUAGCGAAAGUUACGCUAAUACCGCAUACGAUCCAAGGAUGAAAGUGGGGGACCGCAAGGCCUCAUGCUCCUGGAGCGGCCGAUAUCUGAUUAGCUAGUUGGUGAGGUAAAGGCUCACCAAGGCAACGAUCAGUAGCUGGUCUGAGAGGACGACCAGCCACACUGGGACUGAGACACGGCCCAGACUCCUACGGGAGGCAGCAGUGGGGAAUUUUGGACAAUGGGGGCAACCCUGAUCCAGCAAUGCCGCGUGAGUGAAGAAGGCCUUCGGGUUGUAAAGCUCUUUUGUCAGGGAAGAAACGGGAGUGGCUAAUAUCCAUUUCUAAUGACGGUACCUGAAGAAUAAGCACCGGCUAACUACGUGCCAGCCGCCGCCGUAAUAC
rnacentral:rRNA from 1 species